GCGCGGGCGGGGAGCGGCUGUGGUGAGCGGUACGGUUGUGAGAGAAGAAACACGGAGCACAGGCAAAAAAGCAACAGAAAUCCCUUCUGUGGUGACUUCAGAGUGCGGCUGUGGCCGUUGCCCUGCGGUCCGUCCCGCCAAGGUGCUGGGCCGCAGUACGAUGUCGUUUCUCCUGUAAACACACAGCGGUGCCGCUGGGGCUGCGCGCGGGGACCGCCAUCGCGACUCGCGCUGAGCGCGGGCGCUGCGGGACGGCACUACGAGGGAAGAACUAAACCGGGUUUUGUACGGGGUCAGAGACCCCAGCAGCGCCUCUCGCACUGACUUUCUCUUUUGUUUUUGCACGUACAUAUUUAUGGAAAAAGCCGGACGGCAAAUUUCUGUGCUGAGCUAUCCGAAUUUCUAUUGGAAGAGGAAUUCCUGUAGUGCAGGCUUGAUAACGGAUAAUCAAAUUACACGUUGGCAUUCAAGACAUGCUUAAAAUAUCAGCCUCUCAGCGGUACUGAGCGUGCUAACACCCAUGAACUCUGCACCCUCAGAGCGUGUCGUGGUGCUGACUGAACGCUGUGUGACACUGCACCUGCAGUUACCCCGCGUGAAUCUCCCGUGGUGCCUCUUAACAAACAAUGGAUCCCGAAAAAAUGGUCACACAGAGCAAUCCUUCUGGCCUGCACGUAAUCUGCAACAGCUAGAAUUUACAAAGAAGAGUUAGGGCACGUUAUGGGCUCAUAACGUGCUUAAUCCCACUUCAUAAUUCUGUCGCAUUGACAUCAUACGAACAGCUCUGCAGCAGCAAGACUUCUAAAUGGUCUGAACAUGCACACUGAAGCGUGGGAAGGAACACUCAGCUUUCAGUGCCUCCCGAGCUGCUGACUGGCUCUUGCUGCUGCUGAACCCUUGCGUAAGCCCAGGCACCUUGCUGAGCGCUGCAAAGUCCUGUAAGUCUGGUCCUGCGGUUACUGCAUGCUUGGUAUAAGAGAGGCUUAAACCUCUUCUGUCCUGAUUUCGUGCAUGCAGCUGCCUCCUGCAGUCAAGCACACAAAGCGAUCAGCUCAAGAGUGAGCAUUACAAAUCAGCCUGUGAAAGGGGCAUGGGGGAAAGAGCUACCAAGUACUAAUUUGGUUGAAAAACAAAUAUAGGAAUUUGCAGUACAAGUCAUGGGAGUAAAUACCGGUUUAUUAUUAUUAUUUCUGAAAGAGAAAAGCAUCUUCAGUUCUGAGAAAUGAGAAAAUUUACAAGAAGCCAUAGGAACGGAGCUUGUAUGACACUAAUGAGCAUUGCACUGCAGAGCAGGUGCUGAAGUGCUGCUCUGUGCUUUCACAGGUUCUGACAUCAGACCAAUUCUAGAUCGGUCUCACAAACUGCAUGCUUACAGGCAAUGGGAAUGUAUCUCUUAGGUUUAAUGAUGAAGAGAUACAGUGCCCAGACUUUAAGACCAUAGUGUGGUGCAGACCCAGGUAUGCCAGAGGAACAGCAGGCUUAUUUCAAGAAAAUGCAGACAUGGCCCAAAGCAAACUGCUAAUGCAGCAGCAGCCUUUGCUUAGAGGCAGGCUUCCUAAGGCAGGGAAGCAGACCGUGCCCUGGUGCUCAGACGCACUUCUCAGACACGGCUGGGACUGCAGCAGAUGUACAUUCUCUUGAGCAUUAUUCACGUUAAAGCAGCGUUUUUUAAUCCCUCGGGCAGGUAUGCAAGUAACAUGCUCUCCGUUACCGUGAUUAUGUUCUCAGGCCCACCCCACAGCAUCCAGCAGCAGCAUUACCGAUUUCUGCCCGAAUCCCGCUGCCGGACGGCAGCGUGCAGAGCAGAGCUCUGCCGUUACCGACGCGGCACGCUAUCUGCAUUUUCACGUCUCUGAUUUCAAGAGCGAUCGCUAAAACCUGCCACAACGCUGUCCGCGGACGCAGUACUUACCACCUGGAGCGGCUGAGCCAAGCACGGUGCAGCUGCAGCAGCGGUGCGGGACGAGCGCUAUAAAGGCCCGGCCGGGGCGGUUCCUCAGCCGCUGCCCGCCCGCCCCCGGGGCGUUCCGCAGCGCCGCCCCCGGGCAGGGCCGCACCGCACCCCUCGGGCCGCCCCCCCGGGGCCGCAGGCGCCUCGCCGUUGACUCUGUGCGCAGCGAGGUCGGCAGUGUCACUCGGGGAG